AUUGAACGCUGGCUGCAGGCCUAACACAUGCAAGUCGAACGGUAGCACAGAGAGCUUGCUCCCGGGUGACGAGUGGCGGACGGGUGAGUAAUGUCUGGGAAACUGCCCGAUGGAGGGGGAUAACUACUGGAAACGGUAGCUAAUACCGCAUAACGUCGCAAGACCAAAGUGGGGGACCUUCGGGCCUCACACCAUCGGAUGUGCCCAGAUGGGGUUAGCUAGUAGGUGGGGUAAUGGCUCACCUAGGCGACGAUCCCUAGCUGGUCUGAGAGGAUGACCAGCCACAAUGGAACUGAGACACGGUCCAGACUCCUACGGGAGGCAGCAGUGGGGAAUAUUGCACAAUGGGCGCAAGCCUGAUGCAGCCAUGCCGCGUGUAUGAAGAAGGCCUUCGGGUUGUAAAGUACUUUCAGCGGGGAGGAAGGCGGUGAAGUUAAUAACUUCACCGAUUGACGUUACCCGCAGAAGAAGCACCGGCUAACUCCGUGCCAGCCGCCGCCGUAA
rnacentral:rRNA from 1 species